rnacentral:snRNA from 10 species
AUACUUACCUGGCAGGGGAGAUACCAUGAUCACGAAGGUGGUUUUCCCAGGGCGAGGCUUAUCCAUUGCACUCCGGAUGUGCUGACCCCUGCGAUUUCCCCAAAUGUGGGAAACUCGACUGCAUAAUUUGUGGUAAAAAAAAAUAAAAAUAGUCUAUUAA